rnacentral:rRNA from 1 species
AGUGAACGCUGGCGGUAGGCCUAACACAUGCGAGUCGAACGGCAGCACAGUAAGAGCUUGCUCUUACGGGUGGCGAGUGGCGGACGGGUGAGGAAUACAUCGGAAUCUACUUUUUCGUGGGGGAUAACGUAGGGAAACUUACGCUAAUACCGCAUACGACCUACGGGUGAAAGCAGGGGAUCUUCGGACCUUGCGCGAUUGAAUGAGCCGAUGUCGGAUUAGCUAGUUGGCGGGGUAAAGGCCCACCAAGGCGAAGAUCCGUAGCUGGUCUGAGAGGAUGUUCAGCCACCCUGGACCUGAGACACGGUCCUGACUCCUACGGGACGCAGCAUUGCGGAUUAUUGGACAAUGGGCGCAAGCCUGAUCCAGCCAUCCCGCGUGGGUGAAGAAGUCCUUCGGGUUGGAAAGCCCUUUUUUUGGGAAAGAAAAGCAGCAGGUUAAUACCCCGCUGUUCUGACGGUACCCAAGGAAUAAGCACCGGCUAACUUCGUG